AGCCUCGUGGUGUAGUCACGUCAGAUUGCAAAUCUGAAAACGCGGGUUGCCACCCGCCGAGGCU
rnacentral:tRNA from 2 species